rnacentral:rRNA from 1 species
AGUGAACGCUGGCGGCGUGCUUAACACAUGCAAGUCGAACGGUAACAGGAACUAGCUUGCUAGUUUGCUGACGAGUGGCGCACGGGUGAGUAAUAUAUAGUUAAUGUACCCCAAAGACUGGGAUAGCCACUGGAAACGGUGAUUAAUACUAGAUACACCUCUUUAACAUGAGUUAGAGAGGGAAAUGUCUUUUCGCUUUGGGAUCAGACUAUAUCCUAUCAGUUAGUUGGUGAGGUAAUGGCUCACCAAGGCAAUGACGGGUAGCGGGUUUGAGAGGAUGAUCCGCCACACUGGUACUGAGACACGGACCAGACUCCUACGGGAGGCAGCAGUGAGGAAUAUUGCACAAUGGAGGAAACUCUGAUGCAGCAACGCCGCGUGGAGGAUGACGCAUUUCGGUGUGUAAACUCCUUUUAUGAGUCAAGAAAAUGACGGUAGCUCAUGAAUAAGCACCGGCUAACUCCGUGCCAGCAGCCG